rnacentral:pre_miRNA from 1 species
AGUGGGAUAGCUGGGUCAAGUGGUAGUUUCAUUCCAAGUUGUUUAAGGAAUCUCCAUACUACCUUCCAGAUUGGUUAUACCAAUUUGCAGUCCCACCAGCAAU